AUACGUAGGUGACAAGCGUUAUCCGGAUUUACUGGGCGUAAAGGGCGUGUAGGCGGUCUUGCAAGUCAGAAGUGAAAUUCCUGAGCUCAACUCGGGCGCUGCUUCUGAAACUGCAGGACUUGAGUGCUGGAGGGGAUAGCGGAAUUCCUAGCGGAGCGGUAAAAUGCGCAGAUAUUAGGAAGAACACCGGUGGCGAAGGCGGCUAUCUGGACAGUAACUGACGCUGAGGCGCGAAAGCGUGGGGAGCAAACAGGAUUAGAUCCCCUGGUAGUCCACGCCGUAAACGAUGAAUACUAGGUGUAGGGGGUAUCGACUCCCUCUGUGCCGCAGUUAACACAAUAAGUAUUCCGCCUGGGGAGUACGGCCGCAAGGUUGAAACUCAAAUGAAUUGACGGGG
rnacentral:rRNA from 1 species